rnacentral:rRNA from 1 species
CCAGACUCCUACGGGAGGCAGCAGUGGGGAAUAUUGGACAAUGGGGGGAACCCUGAUCCAGCGACGCCGCGUGAGUGAAGAAGUAUUUCGGUAUGUAAAGCUCUAUCAGCAGGGAAGAAAUAGCGACCUUUGGGUCGCCAGACGGUACCUGACUAAGAAGCCCCGGCUAACUACGUGCCAGCAGCCGCGGUAAUACGUAGGGGGCAAGCGUUAUCCGGAUUUACUGGGUGUAAAGGGAGCGUAGACGGCAAUACAAGUCGGAAGUGAAAUACCCGGGCUCAACCUGGGAACUGCUUUGGAAACUGUAUGGCUGGAGUGCUGGAGAGGUAAGCGGAAUUCCUAGUGUAGCGGUGAAAUGCGUAGAUAUUAGGAGGAACACCGGUGGCGAAGGCGGCCUGCUGGACGAUGACUGACGCUGAGGCUCGAAAGCGUGGGGAGCAAACAGGAUUAGAUACCCCAGUAUAU